GUGACAAUUUAUAGUCGACUUGACAUUUUUGAGGAAAUUUUUUGGAAAAGUUAAGUCGUCCAGAUGAUUUGAAUGUUUCAGUUGAGGAUCCAGGAUAUGGAGCAUGGGUGAGAAGAGUUAGAAUGAUGGUUUAAGCAUAGAAGAUUUAUAUGGGUAUUGAAAGUUUUCAUCCAGUAAGCUUGUUGGGUUCUGAUGUUGUGAUUUGUUGGGAGAUUGAUGUUUAUAUUAAGACUUUGUAUUGUCUUAGAAUAGUUAUUCUGGAGUAAGUGAUGUAAAUAUAUGAGUAUUUUGUGCGAUAGAGAAAAAUUAGAGUA